GGCAAAUCCGGAACAACUAAGAGAGGCUUUUAAAGGCAAGAUUGCCUUCUCCAGAAGCUCAUUCUUCAAGUCCCCUCCCCAUGCAAGCAAAGAAAGGCAUGCGCUGUGAAAGUUGCAUGGCAUGACAUCCUCUCAAACGCUACCUGACAGACUGCUGCAAUCACCCUGUGAAUAUUGUCUUCAUUUCCUUGUUGAUUGGUUUGAACCUGGGGUCAUUAUCUCUGCUUUGCAAAUGAAGAAGAGAAAGAAGCUCAAAAAGGACAAGAAACUUUCCCCAAAUCGAACAGGCUUGUCGUGACAAACUGAGAUGAGGUUUGUCAAGUGUUCAGCACAGAAAAUGCUCAACAUCUCCCUCUGGAUGUCCAGCAGUUACUUCAAAUGCAUCCCCCAAGGCAGUUCAUCUUCCAUGUAACUAUAAUAAUCACAGUAAAAAGCUACUG
rnacentral:lncRNA from 1 species